CAUGCAAUACAAGGCUUAGAACCAGAUUCCUAAUCUGGGGGUCGCGCGUUCGAAUCGCGCCGGGAUCACCA
rnacentral:tRNA from 1 species